CACUGCAUGUGAUCCUCUGGGCUCUGCAGGGCCCCUCUAUUCAGCGUUUAAAAGAGACAUGGAGAUGGGUGUCCAGGAAGAACUGGACAAAACUUAAAAAGUUGAUGAAAACAAGCCAGCUGGAGAGCAGGAAGCUGCUCAAGGAGGAGGUGACCUCUGUGUGGGCCACCUUAGAGAUGGAUCCCCAGGGAGCCCAGAAGAGGC